rnacentral:rRNA from 1 species
CCUACGGGAGGCAGCAGUAAGGAAUAUUGGACAAUGGACGCAAGUCUGAUCCAGCCAUGCCGCGUGAAGGAUUAAGGCCCUCUGGGUUGUAAACUUCUUUUAUAGGGGACGAAAAAAGGGCUUUCUAGCUCGACUGACGGUACCCUAUGAAUAAGCACCGGCUAACUCCGUGCCAGCAGCCGCGGUAAUACGGAGGGUGCAAGCGUUAUCCGGAUUCACUGGGUUUAAAGGGUGCGUAGGCGGGCAGUUAAGUCAGUGGUGAAAUCUCUGGGCUCAACCCGGAAACUGCCAUUGAUACUAUCUGCCUUGAAUAUUGUGGAGGUGGGCGGAAUAUGUCAUGUAGCGGUGAAAUGCUUAGAUAUGACAUAGAACACCGAUUGCGUAGGCAGCUCGCUACACAUAUAUUGACGCUGAGGCACGAAAGCGUGGGGGAUCAAACAGGAUUAGAUACCCUGGUAGUCCACGCCCUAAACUAUGAUUACUCGACAUAUGCGAUACACUGUAUGUGUCUGAGCGAAAGCAUUAAGUAAUCCACCUGGGAAGUACGACCGCAAGGUUGAAACUCAAAGGAAUUGACGGCGNGAGAGNGCGAGGACGACGACGAGGGAGGAGG